AUGUGAACUGAUUUAUUUUACCUGUGUAUCAGUGUGUUGGGAGGAACUCUUUUUAUAAUUUUUAAAAAAAAUGUUAUCGUUCAGUAAAUUUAUUCUUGUUUGCGUUGCAAUUUUGGUUUUGGCUCAGGAUGUGACCAGUCACUGGCCAGGUGGUUGGGGCGGUCCUGUGGUGGUAGGAGGGGGGUUCGGUUUCGCCAGGUUCGGCUAUCGUCCCCCACCACCCAUUUUCUACCCACCACCACCGCCACCAAUUUUCUACCCGCCGCCGCCUCCCUUCUUCUACCAUCCGCCGCCGCCGUUCUUCGGGUGAUUUGAUCACGCUAUGGAUUUUUGAACAACGUAUUAGCUGUAUAUAAAUAGGUAUAUAAGUUUGUUAUAAAGUAUAUCUUGUUACCUGAGUGUAUUUUAUUUCUGUUACCUGCAUACUUAGUCCAAUAUUCGUGAAUUUUCUGGAAAGACUUAUUAAUUGUAUGCAAUUAUUAUAUUUGAGUACC